CCCUUAGAUGUCCUGGGCUGCACGCGCGCUACACUGAUGUGUCCAGUAAGCACCUAACCUCUUCCGAAAGGAACGGGUAACCUUUGCAAAGCACAUCGUGAUGGGGAUAGAUUAUUGCAAUUAUUAGUCUUGAACGAGGAAUUCCUAGUAAGCACAAGUCAUCAGCUUGUGUUGAUUAAGUCCCUGCCCUUUGUACACACCGCCCGUCGCUCCUACCGAUUGAAUGUUCCGGUGAGCUCUUCGGACUGCGCGGUCUGCAGUUUCUGCGUUCCGUGCGGAAAGUUGCGCAAACCUUAACAUUUAGAGGAAGGAGAAGUCGUAACA
rnacentral:rRNA from 1 species